rnacentral:lncRNA from 1 species
GGGAGACAAGAAUCCUGGAAGGCAUUGAGGGAGCAGACAAUGGAACCUCCCAGCCAGGCAGCAACAUGGUGGCUGGGGGCUGCAGCAGGGGAUCCCCUGCCCAGGCCCUGUGCCGUGUGCUGAGCAGUGUCUCACAGCUACAUGGUGCUCCUGACUGGGAGCAGAAGGGGGUUGUUGGAGUGGUCCCAAUGAGGUGCAGGAAGUGCCGUCUCCAGUAGGCCCAGGACAACACCCCCCAGAACCUAGAGGGUGAAGAGGGCCACAAGGCAGUGGGAGUGCUCACUCCGCAGGAGGAGUGUCACAGGCUUGGGGUGGGCACUGGACAGGUGGUAGCAGCAGAAUGUGUCCUUCAGGCGCUGGAGCAUCUCUGGUGGAGGCUGGACCCCACAGGCUGCCAGCAUCUGGCUGAGCUUCAGCUCAGUCCGGGAGCUUCCUUCAGCAUGAAGACUCAGGAUCUUUUGUUCAUUAAGGAACUGCCUACACUUUCCCCAAGAAACCUUGCAACAAAAGUUGUUUUGGCUGACUGAUCCUUACAAAGGUAAGACCACACUGCUGUAAGGGCAGGUGCUCUGGUUGCCUUCCUGCUAUCUCCAGGGCAUUUCCAUCUUUUCUUCUGGGUAAUUUUAACAGCAAAAGGAUUACUUCAAUUCUUUACACCUCUGCAAUUGUUACUGAUUUA